rnacentral:misc_RNA from 1 species
AAAAAGAUCGCAUUGCUCGAGAAGCUGAGGAAGAAAGAGCAGCAUCUACGUAUGAGCUCACUCGCCUAACCAAUCAAUUCAAGGGUCUGGUUGAUAGUUGGUCACUACCAAAUAAGGAUGAUGGUGAUUUAGUUGAGAAUCUUCACCAUCAUAGUGAAGCAGGAGUCAGGGAUUUGGCCUCUGGUGUCUCAUUGCAUGAGGUGGUAACGGAUGUCUCCAAGUUUCUUAAAGAAGUUCUGGAUGAGCGUGUUCAGACUGAGAGCAAAAUCAGAGAACUUAAUGACCUGAUACAUAUGAAGAGUCAAGAAAUUGAUGCCCUCAAUUCAAAGGUUUCCGAGUUUUCAAUGGAACGAGAAAAUUCUGCUCACUUCUCUGUGGUUCAACUUGAGAAGGAGAAUCAUAUGACAGAGAUCACUAAUGACAUCUUAG